rnacentral:rRNA from 1 species
AGGCCUAACACAUGCAAGUCGAACGCCGUAGCAAUACGGAGUGGCAGACGGGUGAGUAACGCGUGGGAACCUUCCCAGUGGUACGGAAUAUAACAGGGAAACCUGGGGUAAUACCGUAUACGCCCUUCGGGGGAAAGAUUUAUCGCCAUUGGAUGGGCCCGCGUCGGAUUAGCUAGUUGGUGAGGUAACGGCUCACCAAGGCGACGAUCCGUAGCUGGUCUGAGAGGAUGAUCAGCCACACUGGGACUGAGACACGGCCCAG